rnacentral:rRNA from 1 species
UGGGGAAUAUUGGACAAUGGGCGAAAGCCUGAUCCAGCAAUGCCGCGUGAGUGAUGAAGGCCUUAGGGUUGUAAAGCUCUUUUACCCGGGAUGAUAAUGACAGUACCGGGAGAAUAAGCCCCGGCUAACUCCGUGCCAGCAGCCGCGGUAAUACGGAGGGGGCUAGCGUUGUUCGGAAUUACUGGGCGUAAAGCGCGCGUAGGCGGUUCUUCAAGUCAGAGGUGAAAGCCCGGUGCUCAACACCGGAAUUGCCUUUGAAACUAGGGAACUUGAAUCCAGGAGAGGUGAGUGGAAUUCCGAGUGUAGAGGUGAAAUUCGUAGAUAUUCGGAAGAACACCAGUGGCGAAGGCGGCUCACUGGACUGGUAUUGACGCUGAGGUGCGAAAGCGUGGGGAGCAAACAGG